rnacentral:rRNA from 1 species
GAUGAACGCUGGCGGCGUGCCUAAUACAUGCAAGUCGAGCGAACGGACGAGAAGCUUGCUUCUCUGAUGUUAGCGGCGGACGGGUGAGUAACACGUGGAUAACCUACCUAUAAGACUGGGAUAACUUCGGGAAACCGGAGCUAAUACCGGAUAAUAUUUUGAACCGCAUGGUUCAAAAGUGAAAGACGGUCUUGCUGUCACUUAUAGAUGGAUCCGCGCUGCAUUAGCUAGUUGGUAAGGUAACGGCUUACCAAGGCAACGAUGCAUAGCCGACCUGAGAGGGUGAUCGGCCACACUGGAACUGAGACACGGUCCAGACUCCUACGGGAGGCAGCAGUAGGGAAUCUUCCGCAAUGGGCGAAAGCCUGACGGAGCAACGCCGCGUGAGUGAUGAAGGUCUUCGGAUCGUAAAACUCUGUUAUCAGGGAAGAACAUAUGUGUAAGUAACUGUGCACAUCUUGACGGUACCUAAUCAGAAAGCCACGGCUAACUACGUGCCAGCAGCCGCGGUAAUACGUAGGUGGCAAGCGUUAUCCGGAAUUAUUGGGCGUAAAGCGCGCGUAGGCGGUUUUUUAAGUCUGAUGUGAAAGCCCACGGCUCAACCGUGGAGGGUCAUUGGAAACUGGGAAACUUGAGUGCAGAAGAGGAAAGUGGAAUUCCAUGUGUAGCGGUGAAAUGCGCAGAGAUAUGGAGGAACACCAGUGGCGAAGGCGACUUUCUGGUCUGUAACUGACGCUGAUGUGCGAAAGCGUGGGGAUCAAACAGGAUUAGAUACCCUGGUAGUCCACGCCGUAAACGAUGAGUGCUAAGUGUUAGGGGGUUUCCGCCCCUUAGUGCUGCAGCUAACGCAUUAAGCACUCCGCCUGGGGAGUACGACCGCAAGGUUGAAACUCAAAGGAAUUGACGGGGACCCGCACAAGCGGUGGAGCAUGUGGUUUAAUUCGAAGCAACGCGAAGAACCUUACCAAAUCUUGACAUCCUUUGACAACUCUAGAGAUAGAGCUUUCCCCUUCGGGGGACAAAGUGACAGGUGGUGCAUGGUUGUCGUCAGCUCGUGUCGUGAGAUGUUGGGUUAAGUCCCGCAACGAGCGCAACCCUUAAGCUUAGUUGCCAUCAUUAAGUUGGGCACUCUAAGUUGACUGCCGGUGACAAACCGGAGGAAGGUGGGGAUGACGUCAAAUCAUCAUGCCCCUUAUGAUUUGGGCUACACACGUGCUACAAUGGACAAUACAAAGGGCAGCGAAACCGCGAGGUCAAGCAAAUCCCAUAAAGUUGUUCUCAGUUCGGAUUGUAGUCUGCAACUCGACUACAUGAAGCUGGAAUCGCUAGUAAUCGUAGAUCAGCAUGCUACGGUGAAUACGUUCCCGGGUCU